rnacentral:rRNA from 1 species
GACGAACCGUGCGAACGUUAUUCGGAAUCACUGGCUUAAAGCGCGUGUAGGCGGAUGGGGACGUCGGUUGCUGAAAUCCCCCGGCUCAACCGGGGAACGGGCACCGAAACGCCCCUGUCUGGAGGGACGUAAGGGGACCUGGAACUUCCGGUGGAGCGGUGAAAUGCGUUGAGAUCGGAAGGAACGCCCGUGGCGAAAGCGAGGUCCUGGACGUUUUCUGACGCUGAGACGCGAAAGCUAGGGUAGCGAACGGGA